rnacentral:lncRNA from 1 species
GCCCCCAAGAGUCCUCCUUUUAUAACAUCUAGGGCUCCUACAAGUUAGGAGCCCUUGAUGUAUUACCAAGAGGGGCGCCGACCCCUCUUGUUGCCGCACCAAGAGAUCCAAGGAGGAGGGGCGUGAGCCCCUCCCUCUCAUGUUGCCCUAAUCCUCAUCUAAUGAGGAUUGGGUGGCCCUAAUGUGGUUUAGCCUUAAUCCAAUUAGGCUUAGCCCAAGGGUGAACCAAUUUGGAUCCAAUCUAGGCCAGUCCUAAUCCAAUUAGGACUUGAAUGAACCAUGACUCAAUUGAACUCUU